CCUACGGGAGGCAGCAGUGAGGAAUAUUGGUCAAUGGCCGGAAGGCUGAACCAGCCAUGCCGCGUGAAGGUCAGUGCCCUAUGGGCGUUAAACUUCUUUUGUGCGGGAGCAAUAAUGGUCACGUGUGGCCAGACGAGAGUACCGUACGAAUAAGCAUCGGCUAACUCCGUGCCAGCAGCCGCGGUAAUACGGGGGAUGCAAGCGUUAUCGGAAUUACUGGGCGUAAAGCGCACGUAGGCUGUAUGUCAAGUCAAGGGUGAAAUCCCACGGCUCAACCGUGGAACUGCCUUUGAAACUGGCAAACUGGAGUAUGUGAGAGGGUGGCGGAAUUCCUGGUGUAGGAGUGAAAUCCGUAGAUAUCAGGAGGAACAUCAGUGGCGAAGGCGGCCGCCUGGCACAAAACUGACGCUGAGGUGCGAAAGCGUGGGUAGCAAACAGGAUUAGAUACCCGUGUAGUC
rnacentral:rRNA from 1 species